UACAGAGGGGCAAGCGUUAUUCGGAAUUAUUGGGCGUAAAGGGCGCGUAGGCGGCCUGGCAAGUGGAAGGUGAAAUCCCUCGGCUUAACCGAGGAACUGCCUCCCAAACUGCUUGGCUUGAGACCGGGAGAGGUGAGUGGAAUUCCCAGUGUAGCGGUGAAAUGCGUAGAUAUUGGCUGGAACACCGGUGGCGAAAGCGGCUCUCUGGCCCGGUUCUGACGCUGAGGCGCGAAAGCGUGGGGAGCAAACAGG
rnacentral:rRNA from 1 species